rnacentral:tRNA from 2 species
GCCGGGGUAGCUCAGUCGGCAGAGCGGCUCACUCGUAAUGAGCAGGUCAGGGGUUCGAUUCCCCUCCCCGGCU